CUAUUUCUAUGGGCACAAGCGCUGACGUUUACGCAAGCGUGAGCGAGCCGCUUCCUCUCAGCAACGCCUGACAGACCGGGAGAGACGCGAUGGAGGCUACGGAGGGCGCUCAGCUCCGCGAGCGCGGCAAGACGCUGGAGCGCGAGCCGGAGGUAGCAGCCACCGCAGCAGCAGCAGCAGCAGGAGGGGACACGGCCCGCGGGCCACCCCUCUCCGGCACGUCCUACUGGCUGGACUUCUGGCUCCUGAUCCUCUUCGACCUGGUGGUCUUCGUCUUCGUCUAUCUGCUGCCUUGACGGGCAGGGCGCGCGCGCGCGCACCUCACAGCAGGGCAACUGGAUUCUACUCUAGAACAUCUGCCAUUGUCACUCCUUCAGCAACUCUCCAGUGCAGAACAGAAUUAAGAACACAUUACCAAUACGUGAAAUGAUGUCUGUGACACCUGUAUUUUAACUAUUGACACAUUUUGCUGGGCGUACCAGAUAUGAUUCAUGAAUGAACUUGGGAGUGGAGAUGAUUGACAUUUAUUCUUCAGGCUGAAGUACAAGUUGUGCCUUAUGUUAAUUGUAACUCAGGUAUUUAAGUGGUUGAAGGUUUUCAACGAUGUUGAAAUGCUUCAUUUUCAGUCAUUACUUUACUUUAAUAAAGAGUAACCUAGCACGGACUCAAAA